rnacentral:rRNA from 1 species
ACGCUGGCGGAAUGCUUUACACAUGCAAGUCGAACGGCAGCACGGGUGCUUGCACCUGGUGGCGAGUGGCGAACGGGUGAGUAAUGCGUCGGAACGUACCGAGUAAUGGGGGAUAACGCAGCGAAAGUUGUGCUAAUACCGCAUACGCCCUGAGGGGGAAAGUGGGGGACCGCAAGGCCUCACGUUAUUCGAGCGGCCGACGUCUGAUUAGCUAGUUGGUGGGGUAAAGGCCUACCAAGGCGACGAUCAGUAGCGGGUCUGAGAGGAUGAUCCGCCACACUGGGACUGAGACACGGCCCAGACUCCUACGGGAGGCAGCAGUGGGGAAUUUUGGACAAUGGGCGCAAGCCUGAUCCAGCCAUUCCGCGUGAGUGAAGAAGGCCUUCGGGUUGUAAAGCUCUUUCGGCAGGAACGAAACGGCGGGCUCUAACAUAGCCUGUUACUGACGGUACCUGCAGAAGAAGCACCGGCUAACUACGUGCCAACAGCCGCGGUAAUACGUAGGGUGCGAGCGUUAAUCGGAAUUACUGGGCGUAAAGCGUGCGCAGGCGGAUUGUUAAGCAAGACGUGAAAUCCCCGGGCUUAACCUGGGAAUGGCGUUUUGAACUGGCAGUCUAGAGUGCGUCAGAGGGGGGUGGAAUUCCACGUGUAGCAGUGAAAUGCGUAGAGAUGUGGAGGAACACCGAUGGCGAAGGCAGCCCCCUGGGAUGACACUGACGCUCAUGUACGAAAGCGUGGGUAGCAAACAGGAUUAGAUACCCUGGUAGUCCACGCCCUAAACGAUGUCAACUGGUUGUUGG